rnacentral:lncRNA from 1 species
CUGGGCAACGGCUGGGGCUGUGCGGACUGUGCUGGCUGUGCGGGCUGCGUGGGCGGCGGGGCGGCCUGGCAGGCUGGGCGGCGGGGCGGCGGGGCGGCCGGGUACGCUGGGCGUGGAGCCGGGCCUAGAACGCGGCCCUGGCGCUGAAGGAACUGUCUGAGGGAAGAGACGGGCAAACGCUCGACGACGACAGCGUGAUACAGGAAGCGCUAGGCACCCGGAGCGCAGAGGGGCCCCCUAUCCGGGAGGGCGGGCAGGAGGUUGCCUGGUGGAGGAACGCUUGGAGCGCCCGAGAACUGAAAACAGCUCUGUCUGACUGAGGGGGAGGGGAGAGUGGGUGGAGGAGAGGCAGGCAGCGGCAUCAAAGCCACUUUAAGGGGUUUGGGUUUGUUUUGUUUUUUCAAAGGGUUAUAUUCCCUUUUUUUCCCCCCGGAAAAACAAACUAUAGCUAUGGAGAAUAGGUCGGUGAUGGUUUGGGGUUAGGACUGGGGAAAGCUUGGCUAUAUGAAGGGGUAGCUUGAGGGCGUGUUUCAGACUGAUGGCUAGUUGUGGUGGCCUCAAAAUCUGUACACGUGUUAAAAUGCAUAGAACUACACACCACAAAGAAUCCGUUUUACCGUAUGGUACUUUAAAAAAUUUGACAUACACCCAUGUCUCUACCUCAAGGGGCUUGGAUUUUGUUCUGAGACAAUGGGGAGAUACUGCAAGGUUUUGAGCUGGGAAGGGUGUAAUUAGAUUUGUGUUUCAGAAAGCUUGCUCUCCUUGAAGAGUCGAGAAUGGGUUGGAGGAAGGAAGCAAGACUAGAGGCAGGGAGUCAAGUUAGGUGGCUGUUCCAGUAAUCCAGGCACAAUCCACAGGGACUUGGACUCAUAGUGGCAGAGGACAUGGGACGUGUGGACAGAUGUGAGAGACGUUUAGAGUUAGAAUCAAUAAGACUGGGAAGUUGAAUGUGAGGAAUGAGGGAGAAGGAGAUGGCGCUCAUAUUUCUGGCUUGGGCAUCUCGGCAUGUGGUGUGAGAUGGGGAAUACAGGAUAGAGGCGGUGGAGGAAGAUAAGUUCAGUUCAGCAUUGUUCUGUUGAGAUGGGCUUGGGAUCUCCUACUGGAGAGGCCUGUCCAGGAGCAGAUGGAUGGCCCUGGAGAGAGCUGAGAUGGAGAUGGAGGUUUAGGGAGGCAUCAGCAUCUAGCAGUGGGGAUGUAUGAGAUUGCCUGAGGAGAGUUUUUAGAGUGAGAAGGUCUCUGAGCUUUGGACAGAUCCCUGGGACACACAGGCAGGCUAGAAAGGGCGGGAGGGACUUGCAAAGGAGACUGAAGAUGGGGUGAGGUAAACCAGGAGAACGUAGAAGUUUCAUGGAAGAGGAGGAGUCCAAGACUGUCCAAUGCUUCUGAGAAGUCAAACAAGAGAGGGACUCAGAUUUAGCAACGAGAUCCUUGGCAGAAACAGUUUCGGUGGAGUGGUUUGGGCAGAAGCCAGACCACAGUGAGUUGAGGAAUGUGUAGGAUGUGAGGAAGUGGUGACAGCUAGUACAGUAGCUAGUACAGACAACUUUUUCAAGCACCUUGUGGGCGCUCAGUGAAGACUUAAUGAAUAAGCACCGGCUCAUGUUCUUCCACCCUAAAGGAAGAAACCUUCUUC